rnacentral:rRNA from 1 species
CACGUAGGGCGCAAGCGUUGUCCGGAAUUAUUGGGCGUAAAGAGCUCGUAGGCGGUCUGUUGCGUCCGCUGUGAAAACUCGGGGCUUAACCCCGAGCCUGCAGUGGAUACGGGCAGACUAGAGGUAGGUAGGGGAGAAUGGAAUUCCCGGUGUAGCGGUGAAAUGCGCAGAUAUCGGGAGGAACACCGGUGGCGAAGGCGGUUCUCUGUGCCUUACCUGACGCUGAGGAGCGAAAGCGUGGGGAGCGAACAGG